rnacentral:rRNA from 1 species
CCUACGGGAGGCAGCAGUGAGGAAUAUUGGUCAAUGGACGCGAGCCUGAACCAGCCAAGUAGCGUGAAGGAUGACUGCCCUACGGGUUGUAAACUUCUUUUAUAAAGGAAUAAAGUGAGGCACGUGUGCCUUUUUGUAUGUAAUUUCUGAAUAAGGAUCGGCUAACUCCGUUACAGCAGCCGCGGUAAUACGUAGGAUCCGAGCGUUAUCCGGAUUUAUUGGGUUUAAAGGGAGCGUAGAUGGGUUGUUAAGUCAGUUGUGAAAGUUUGCGGCUCAACCGUAAAAUUGCAAUUGAUACUGGCAGCCUUGAGUACAGUUGAGGUAGGCGGAAUUCGUGGUGUAGCGGUGAAAUGCUUAGAUAUCACGAAGAACUCCGAUUGCGAAGGCAGCUUACUAAACUGCCACUGACAUUGAUGCUCGAAAGUGUGGGUAUCAAACAGGAUUAGAUACCCUUGUAGUC